rnacentral:rRNA from 1 species
AACGCGAAGAACCUUACCCGGACUUGAUAUCUAACAAAUCAUCCAGAGAUGGAAGAGUGUCUGCUUGCAGAAAUGUUAAGACAGGUGCUGCACGGCUGUCGUCAGCUCGUGUCGUGAGAUGUUGGGUUAAGUCCCGCAACGAGCGCAACCCACGUCAUUAGUUGCUAACGGUUCGGCCGAGCACUCUAAUGAGACUGCCUUCGUAAGGAGGAGGAAGGUGUGGACGACGUCAAGUCAUCAUGGCCCUUAUGUCCGGGGCGACACACGUGCUACAAUGGCGUAUACAAUAAGACGCAAUAUCGCGAGAUGGAGCAAAUCUAUAAAAUACGUCCCAGUUCGGAUUGGAGUGUGCAACUCGACUCCAUGAAGCNGGAAUCGCCUAGUAAUCGUAGAUCAGCCAUGGUANCGGUGAAUACGUNGNCCAAGG